GGGCCUAAAAAAUUUGAAGACGGCGCUGUAGACAGACUAGUGUGCUUUGUACAACAACUGGUGGCCCAUGCUAGCAGGUUAUUGCUGUUACCAAUGCCAGCAUGCCUGUUCUUCGGUGGUGGAUCCACACACACUUCUUGACUAGCAGAGAAGGUGGAGGGUGGAUCAAUGCUGCGAAAUUCCUGACUGGUGCGUCCGCCAUGGGAAGCCUCGCUAUUCCAGCAAUACCGAGGCAUGCUGGCCUAAUCGAGACUGGGGCCAUGUUCAUCCAGUUCACGUCCUUCUUCAUUCUUGUAUGCACAGUGCUGUGCUUCCAUAGGGCUACCCUGGAUGAGGACUGGUAAAGAUUCGCGUGAACGGAGACCCCCCGCCCCCGAACCUGGCCGCUUCUCUCCAUGCUAAUUAAGAACAAAAUCCUGUCCGAAGCUAACAUGGAUCUGUGUGUACCAAGAAGCAAAUUGUGUAGCCUAUGUUUUGUGUAGGCUCUUGUUAAAGUGUCUACACUAUCGUCUUCUUAAUAGAUAGUAGAGAUUUGUUGUUGCAUGUUUCAUGAGGAAAGAACCAUCCGUAUUGUG